rnacentral:rRNA from 1 species
GUACACGCUGUGACUAGCAUAUCAAUAAGCGGAGGAAAAGAAACUAACAAGGAUUCCCCUAGUAACGGCGAGUGAAGCGGGAAGAGCUCAAAUUUGAAAUCUUAAAGGGUUUCCCUUUACGAAUUGUAGUUUAAAGAAGUGUUUUCUGUUGAGGUUUUGGUAAAAGUUCUUUGGAAUAGGGACAUCAUAGAGGGUGAGAAUCCCGUAUUUGACCUUUACUUUCAACUUUGUGAUACACUUUCAAAGAGUCGGAUUGUUUGGGAAUGCAGUCCAAAAUGGGUGGUAAAUUUCAUCUAAAGCUAAAUAUUGGCGAGAGACCGAUAGCGAACAAGUACCGUGAGGGAAAGACUGAAAAGAACUUUGAAAAGAGAGUUAAACAGUACGUGAAAUUGUCAAAAGGGAAGCGUUUGACACCAGUGUUGUUUUUCUGAAAAUCAAUUAAAGAACUGUUUAUGCUAAGCUGUUUAGACUUUAUCAGCUAUCUGUUUAGUUUUGAGCUUUUCUUUAAUGCACUUUCAGUUAACAAGUCAACAUCAAUUUCUUUUGCUGUAAAAAAGCUUGAGGAAGGUGGCUUGAGAUUCGUCUUAAGUGUUUAUAGCCUCUUGCCUAUGCAGUCGGAGAGAUUGAGGUCUGCAGCGUAGAUCCUUCGGGGCUAAAUGCAUUUGUGCUAAGUUAUAGCAUUUUAUAGACAACUUGUUGACUAUGAUUAGUCUUGUAGCUUACUCGCUUAUGCUACUUUUACCUACGCUUAGGAUGUUGAUAUGCAUGACUGAUAU